CUCUGCCCAAUGAUUAUUUAAAUGGCUGCAGUANUUUAACUGUACAAAGGUAGCAUAAUCAAUUGAUUUUUAAAUGAAAUCUAGAAUGAAGGAGGUGAUGAAAUAUAUAUUUUAUUAGAAUAAUUUAUUUAAUUUAAAUCUAAAGUUAAAAUGCUUUAAUUAAUUUAAGGGACGAGAAGACCCUAUAGAAUUUUAUAUUUUUAUUUUAAUUUUAUUUAUAAAAUUUAUUUUAAAAAUAUUUAUUUGGGAGGAAUUUUAAAUUUAAUUAACUUUAAACUUUUUUUUACAAUUAUAAAAGGUUUAUAAUGAUUUUAAGUAUUAAUUUAUAAAAUAAAUUACCUUAGGGAUAACAGUGUAAUA
rnacentral:rRNA from 1 species